rnacentral:rRNA from 1 species
UACGUAGGGGGCUAGCGUUGUUCGGAAUUACUGGGCGUAAAGCGCGCGUAGGCGGACCUGCAAGUCGGGGGUGAAAGCCCGAGGCUCAACCUCGGAACUGCCUUCGAUACUGCGGGUCUCGAGUCCGGGAGAGGUGAGUGGAAUUCCUAGUGUAGAGGUGAAAUUCGUAGAUAUUAGGAAGAACACCAGUGGCGAAGGCGGCUCACUGGCCCGGUACUGACGCUGAGGCGCGAAAGCGUGGGGAGAAAACAGG